rnacentral:rRNA from 1 species
CACCGCGGUUAUACGAGUAGCCCAAGUUGACAAACACCGGCGUAAAGAGUGGUUAAUAAAACCUCCCCAAUAAAGCGAAACACCCUCAAAGCUGUCAUACGCACCCGAAGGUAGGAAGACCUUUCACGAAAGUGGCUUUAAAUUUUAUGACCCCACGAAAGCUAAGGCA